rnacentral:rRNA from 1 species
GAUGAACGCUGGCGGCGUGCCUAAUACAUGCAAGUCGAGCGAACGGACGAGAAGCUUGCUUCUCUGAUGUUAGCGGCGGACGGGUGAGUAACACGUGGAUAACCUACCUAUAAGACUGGGAUAACUUCGGGAAACCGGAGCUAAUACCGGAUAAUAUUUUGAACCGCAUGGUUCAAAAGUGAAAGACGGCCUUGCUGUCACUUAUAGAUGGAUCCGCGCUGCAUUAGCUAGUUGGUAAGGUAACGGCUUACCAAGGCAACGAUGCAUAGCCGACCUGAGAGGGUGAUCGGCCACCCUGGAACUGAGACACGGUCCAGACUCCUCCGGGAGGCAGCAGUAGGGAAUCUUCCGCAAUGGGCGAAAGCCUGACGGAGCAACGCCGCGUGAGUGAUGAAGGUCUUCGGAUCGUACAACUCUGUUAUUAGGGAAGAACAUAUGUGUAAGUAACUGUGCACAUCUUGACGGUACCUAAUCAGAAAGCCACGGCUAACUACGUG